GGAGAGAUGGCUGAGCUGGUCUAAGGCGCACGACUGGAAAUCGUGUGUACCCCGAACAGGGUACCGAGGGUUCGAAUCCCUCUCUCUCCG
rnacentral:tRNA from 1 species